GUCCACGCGGUAACGAUGAAUGCUAGGUGUUGGGAGCAGAGCUCUUCGGUGCCGCCGCAACGCAUUAAGCAUUCCACCUGGGAGUACGUUCGCAAGAAUGAACUCAAAGGAAUUGACGGGGCCCGCACAAGUGGUGGAGCAUGUGGUUUAAUUCGACGCAACGCGAGGAACCUUACCAGCGUUUGACAUCCUAGGAAUGAGAAAGAGAUUUUCAGUGCUCCUUCGGGAGAACCUAGAGACAGGUGGUGCAUGGCUGUCGU
rnacentral:rRNA from 1 species